GUGAAGCUGGUGGUGAGAAAGGACACGGCUGUCUGCUUCCUCAGCCGCCUGCACCACGUCGCAGGAUUACAGGACAGACAGCUGCCUGCUCCACCUGGCACCGCGGGGAAAGAACAACCCCCGGCGCCCCGAGGUGCUGGUGGUGGUGCCGCACCCCAGACUCUAGCAGGGCCCGUCACUAGUGAAGCGAGUGAUUUCUACGAGUCCCGCGACGGUGGUGGUGAAUUUGUGACACGUUUGAAGGAUUUACAUGUGAAGGCCCCGCGCAGCACACCGCCUGUGUUACACCUGAGCACCCGCAGCUGUUGAUCCAGGCUCGUCCUUCCCCGCUGGCACCAUGUCGUCCACGCUGCCGCGCACCCGCAGUGUGAGCGCCGCCUCAACCUCCUCCUCGGGCAGCAAGCAGGACCGGAUUCGUCCAGUGUCCGUGUGUGACACCUCGUGGUCCAGGAUGACUGGCCAGGAGCUCCGUCAGCAGCACCUGGUGAGGACACCGUCACAAGCCAACAACUUGUGCACCACCGUCCCGCAGAACCUCGUGGUGCAGAACCUUGGCGGCCGCCACACGCCCACCAGGAGCAGCCUCAGACACUCCCGCAUGAUCGUCCUCUCCAAGAACGGCAAAGCACCAGUACGUGACCGGCGGUGGGCUCCCAAUAGCCUUGGUCGUGCGGGCGUGCUGGUAGUGACGGCGCAGAUCCUGGUGGGCGUGAUGGGCGUAACGCUAGCGGCCUGGUUCCUGAUGUGGGCACCCAUUCUCAAGUUUAGGGAGGUCCCCCACUAUGCAGGCGUCCCGGUGUUCCUGGCGGGGGUGUGCGGCGCCAUCCUCAUCAGUUGCUUCCAGAGGCGCCGUCACAGUACACUUGGCAGCGUCAUCAAGGGCGUGUUGGUGGCACUGUGCUGUGUCAGCGUGGUCACCUGCCUGUGUGUGUGCAUCUUUACGGCGUUGCACCUCACCCAGCUGGCUGCCAUGACCUGCCACACCGAACACUCCACCCUCGCCCACCCCGACCACAGUCUCGCCGCGCCCGCCACGAAGGCCCUGCCCGGGAUGGAGGACGACGAGGACGAGGGUGAGGGCAGCGGCGGGGGCUGGGGAGACUCGACACUCUACGAGUACGAGUACGACGAUGUGGACGCCACCCUGGAAUUCGAGACCGUGACCCUAGAGAGUGUGACGGUAGACCUUGACCAGGGCGUGCUGCUCAACAUCACGACGUGCCUGUGCGAACAGCGAGGCCCAUCUUGGCGGAGGACAAAGUCUUACGCGAACUUGAGCUGUUUGGAGGUGAACAAUAUCUUGCCCAUCCUGUUCGUGGCGUCCUGCGUGGUGACGGCCAUCGGGGCGGUUCUGUCUGCUCUCAUCCUCUACCUCCUCUGGUCAUUUAAAAAUAGUUUCUACGGUCCUGCGAAGCCAUACGAGCGAAGACCGUUUAUAUUUACAAGUAACUUUAAGAACACUGCCAAAGCCAGCAAUGGGUCGAGCAAUAAAGUGUUGAACGGUGACUCCAGGUUCAGGUGACGAAGGUAACCGUGGAGUGUUAGAGGAUGCUGUGUGGGCGCGCUCAUCUGUCUCCGGGAACACAGGAACAGUGCACACUGAACGCCGGGAGCAUCUGCCGGCCGGUCAUGCUGCCGAGCCCGGUUCCGUGAAGAUGUGGACGCGCAAGUUUUUACGCUAGAAAAUGGAAUCGGCCUGAGCUAGCAUGUAAUAUAUAAAUGCGGGUGAAAAUAUUUUAAGUUAUGUUUUAUAUAUCUGAAUGUUACUGUGUAAUAGAAUAGAAUCUCUUAACUGUAGCAUAACACGGUACCGUCAGCAAAGACGAACAUUGUCACAAAGAUCGUGCUGACUGUCAGAGGUGCAUCUCUGCUGGUCUCCUGUUGACUUACCUUCCUGCAUCUACACACUACCUAUUGUUGCCAGCCGUGCGUUGAGUCGUGAGGAAUACAACAUUGCAGUGUUCCUGCACCUCCAUUUCCAUCCGGUCCAGGAGUCGGUGCUCUCGUGGUUCCUCCGCCUCUCAAGCCGUCACCUUCAAACAUCUUGAGAUCACCUCGUAUUCUCAAACUACAUGUCUCGCAGCAACAAGUGAAAGGCGAGACUAGACUUCAGAGCACGAGUGAGUUGUGCGGAGACAGAUGAAUAUCCUUGACUCUGCCAUCACUUCAAUAUGACACAGCUAAGCUACAGUGUUGAUGAGGGACAUACCUUGCUUGUUUUGUCACCAAUAGCAUCACACGGAAGGUGGAAGGCGCCGGGCUACAGUGCAGAGGUAUUCCCCGGGGUUGGCCACUCGCUAACUCAGGUAACAGAAUAGGGAAUCCCACGUUGGUGCAGAGCAGGAGAGGAACGCAUUGCGAAACAGACAGGUUGAGACGCUCUUCAGAACAUGGCGCGCCCCACUGUUCUGGUUCUGGCUAUCGUGGUGUGUUUUCUAAGCGCCCACCUGCCUCCCGCUGCAUCCAGGCCUGCGCUACUGAAACCGGAAGAAAGCUACACCCCAGAACAACAGGCAGUCAUUAAGAUUGUGGACGACCUACUCAACCAACUGCUGAGACAGUUUUUGCAAGAACAUGGGGGAGAUACACCGCCAUUCAGCGCUGAGGAAGAAUUUCCUUACGCCGGGAAUUCUGCGGAGGAGCAGGUGCAGCCGAGGCCUUCCCUUGUUCCCCCUGCAAGGCCACCCCACCCUGAUGGUGCCGGAGGAGCGGAAUCUUAUGAAGUGUCCAGCACAAAUCUUGGAACACAGCCAGUGAAUGGUGGACGCAUAGUCUUCCCUUCAGACUAGGAAGACAACCUAUAGGAUCUGCUUUUAAUAUGUUUUUUUUUUCUUUUAUGUAUUUGUGUGGACUUCCAAAUCAUGCAUUCAUUGUCAUAAACUUAUUCUUCGUAAAACUGAAUCUCCUCUCUUUUUUCAAAACGCACUAAGUUAUCUGUAGUACUUUUGUUAGCUAUUGCUGUCAUAUUUUUUGUAACAUAUUCAUGAAUCAAAUAUGUGCAAUAU